GAUGAACGCUGGCGGCGUGCCUAAUACAUGCAAGUCGAGCGAACAGACGAGGAGCUUGCUCCUCUGACGUUAGCGGCGGACGGGUGAGUAACACGUGGAUAACCUACCUAUAAGACUGGGAUAACUUCGGGAAACCGGAGCUAAUACCGGAUAAUAUAUUGAACCGCAUGGUUCAAUAGUGAAAGACGGUUUUGCUGUCACUUAUAGACGGAUCCGCGCCGCAUUAGCUAGUUGGUAAGGUAACGGCGUACCAAGGCGACGAUGCGUAGCCGACCUGAGAGGGUGAUCGGCCGCCCUGGAACUGAGACACGGUCCAGACGCCUACGGGAGGCAGCAGUAGGGAAUCUUCCGCAAUGGGCGAAAGCCUGACGGAGCAACGCCGCGUGAGUGAUGAAGGUCUUCGGAUCGUAAAACUCUGUUAUUAGGGAAGAACAAAUGUGUAAGUAACUAUGCACGUCUUGACGGUACCUAAUCAGAAAGCCACGGCUAACUACGUG
rnacentral:rRNA from 1 species